UGGGUGCCCAGCCCGGAGUGCUGGGGUCGCCCGGAGCAGUGUCUCUGUGCUCGGAGCCGCCGGGUCUGAGCGUCUCCCCUCAGUCCUGGCGUUGCUUUUCGUCUUUUCCGAUCAGUCAGAGGGAAUUUCCCCGUUCCCCGUCCCCGUAGUCUGCGAGGGCAGGGUAUGGGCUUUCUGAAAAGGUAACUGCUGUAGAACUGCUCCGCUUCUAUCCGGGUAAAUCCGGGGCAAUGAUGGUCCUCGAUGACGGCUGGAGAGUGAAAUAAGGGCGAACAUUCUGUGUUGUUACUUGAACUAAGACGGAACAAGAAAAGUUGAGCUCUGUGAAAUGCUGUUUGCAGUUUGUCUUGAAACCUACAGAAAAAGGCAUUAAUUCAGUGUCCUGGACAUAAGCAGGAAGAAUGAAAGAUGGAAGAAUUUUCACUUUUCUGGCCUUUUCCUGAUGACAGUGGCUUUGACUGGGUGCCCUGAUCUCCCAAACACUGAUUGUCUUAUGUUCCUCAAUUCUGAAAACCUUCAAGCAUACAGUCAGGUAUCCUGCCAGCAGCUCUGCAGCAGUCAAUGCUUUUGCAAUACCAGGCUCUGCUCAUUUCAAAACUGAAGCAAUCCAGCUUAGCAGUCAGCAGAGUGUAAAACUGAAUAGUAGGAAGCAUUGGAGAGCACCUACUCCAGUUUCAAGCAGAAGAAAGCCUUAAAACUUCAAGGAUCAGAAUGCUGGGGCAUCUCCACUGACAGGAAAUCUAACAGGCAGAGAUGGGAAAAAAAUUAGGAGAUGAAUACACCAGAAGAGUUCUGCUGUACGCUGCAAAUUGCCCGCUGUGGUACCAGACAGCCCUUGUUGAUCAUGCCUGAAGAACAUAUUCUUUCCCUGAAUAUGAAACAUGACAACCCACUGUACUAGGGCUCAGGAUUGAUAUUGCUGUCCUGCAAGGAUAAUUGGGAAUUUACCAAACCGGAGCAACAGAUGCCUUGAGAGACGCAAGUAUCUUUCAGGAGCUGCCUUAUCAGGUACCUGUCAUAAAGUCAAAGUAGGAGCAACUGUUCAUUCUAAGGAAAUGCAAGGAAAAGAAUUGCUCCACCUUGCAGGUACAAAACAAGAUGCCACGUUCCUCACAGCGGCCAGAGUUGGCAUGGAUGACCAGCUCUCCCAGCACGACCUGCUUCCCUGUGGGAAGAUGCUGCCCAGGACAGUAACGUUUCUGCUACUAGAGCUGAGGGGAAAGGCCAUAUUUGGGACCUGAUUUUAGGUCAGAAUUGGAGCUGGAACUUUGAAUACAAUUUUUUUUCCCCCAAAAUUGUCCUGUACUCUACUCUCUCAGCCUUGUCCUCAGCUAAGGUGUUGCAGUAUUGCUUAGGGGUGAGCUGUGCUGAUGCCACUGCUGUACUCCUGCUGGUUUGGAGCAUGGGGUCUGCCUGGCCAGGUCCGGGAGGAGCUGGGGAAAUGGACUGGCUUGCAGUGCUGUUUGAAAGCAGCACAGACCCCUUUCCUAGCAGAAUGUUUAAUGGAAUCUGCUUCCUUGAAACCAAAAUGAGGCAACAGCUGUGAUUGCAGCAAGCUGUAACAUCUCAUUUCUGGAUGGAGGCACGUCCUGUUACAAGUGGUGCUGCUGCAAAAUCUCAGCAAAAGAACCUACUGAGACCUGCCUGGCUGGGGGCUGUGAACUCCCCUGAGGUGAGCUGAAGACCCAACUUCACUUGGUUUCUUUGAAGAAAGAGCUGUACAUACUCCAGCCAACUUCAGUGAAGAGAAGCUUCAGUAAACCUAGACCUGAAUUUGAGAGAAUUUGGCUCAAUAGGCCUCAAGAAGAAGCUUGGAAUGUGGUGCCAGCACAACACCGGACAGUGAGAGAAACCGAGGCAAGCACCUCCAAGAUAAGUAAUAAAUGAUAAUUGUUAUUUCCUAUUAUUCAUCUGAAUCUCUACUCCUGAGAAUUUGAGAUAAAUCCUAAAUUUUCCUUUAUUUUUAAGCAGAUCAUCCAGCAAGUUAAAAAACAGCAACACAAGGAGGUCCUAAGAUAGGGUUUGCUCCAGUUUUCCUGCUGAGCAUCUGUUUAGGAAUUGCUGCUAAAAAAAGUCAGAGGGGAUGGUAGUUGCUGUGCUGUCACAUGGGCUGAUACAGAGCAGAAUCUGCUUAGCAUUCUUGAAGGGAAAUUAUCCAGUGCUGUAACUCACAAUUUAUAAUUGGUUGCAUAUUAAUAUCUAAAAAAGGCAAUAAAAUCCACUGUGUGUUUAAAAAAAAUAGUAAGUAGGAGUAUUACAAGCUGAGCAGUGAAAAUCUGGAAGACUUCUUGGCUAGAGCAAGGCUGUGUGCAGUGCUGUUUCUCCCUUAAUUACAAGCAAUUUUAAAUCAUCUCCUUCCUUCAAAGAGGGAUUUUGUUCAGGGUGUGUGUUAAUUUUAAUCUUGCUAACGUGAUACUCUCUUGGAACCUCUCCCUUGUGUCAUAACAGUGAGAUGUGCUGCCUCUUUUGUCCCUGCCCUUUGGGAAAUGCAGUUACUGCUGCUCGUUGCCUCAACCCUGCCGUCAUGACUAUCAGUGUACCUCCCUUGAAAGGAGAAGAAAACAAAACCCAACAGCAGCAUUGCUUUUUUCCCCCCAGAGGUUCACUUUUAUUUGUACUAUUUAAGCUAGACUGUGCAAGUACUUUGUGAAAAUCAGGGAUUUAAAAUGUAUGGUACUGUAUUAUGCUGUAUUAUAGUGCAAAGCUUGUUAUUCAGCACACUAAUUAUUUCUGAGUCACUCUAUUUAUGAAAUGGCGUGUAAUAACUACUUCACCACCACGCAAAGUAAAUAGUAUAAAAGCAGGCAUUUUAUGAUUUUGACAUUUUAGUGUAUAAACAUAUUCCUGAAUCUCCUGGGGGGCUACUGGAAAUCAGAUAAUGUUUUUAUGACUUUUAAAAAAUGACAUUGAAUUUCACAGUCUGUAACGCUCCAUAUAUAUGGUUAAUGUUGCAUAUUUUAUUACAGCCUCAGUGGCUUAUGUUACAAGUGUCAGCUGCAAAGAGAAAAUGUACAAAGGUGGGUUUGUGGAACUGUGGGGGAAACAACAUCAUAAAACCUUGCAAUGCACACAUCAAAGCCCUUGGACAAGCUGUAAUGGCAGGUCCUGGGCCAUGCUGGGACACCAGAAUACACCCUCUGCUUUUUUUCGUGCCAGGAUGGAUUACAAAGCCCUCGCUGAAGGAGGGUUUCUGCCCACACUUGUCACUAGAGGAUAAGUAAGUUUGGGUUUUUGUCAAGCCCUGUGUGAAUGACCCGUUAACUCCAGAGGAACUGGGACGCCUUGAGUGACGCUCUGCGAGCUGGACUGCACUGAGACUUCUGCAUUUCAGGAAUGUGACUCCUGUCCUUGACCUCGUCUGCAGAUAAAUACAACAUGCCCCGUAGUGCUGAGUGGUUUGGGAAGAAUGUCAGCCAGACAAGAGAGGGGAGAUAAUGGAAAGACAGGGUAUGAUAGGAACUGGGCUGUCUGAUUCUGCAAUGUGGGAAUCGCCUUUUCUCAGCUGCCAGUGUCAAAGUCAAGCUUGCAUUGCACAAAUAAAAUGGGGUAUUCCACACACACACCUGCACCCUUUCAAUUGUCACUGAUAUUUAGCAGAGGGAAUAUUCAAAACAUUAUUCCCUCCAAUACAGAAUGGCUGUUGGGUGUUACCAGAUCACGUAAAAAGACAUCUGAGGGGAGUUUUUCCAGCAACAAACAAGAAACAAAGGGAGGAUUUAAAAAAUGUUUUGCUACGUAUACUGUUAUGAUUUUUUUGUGAAUAUAUAUAUAUAUAUAUAUAAAAAUUAAUGUUGGGAUGUGAAGAAACAAAGAAAAAGAGCAGGCAAGUGUGCUACCAUAAAAUGUAGCAUGACUUGUUACAGAACUGAAUGUUACAGGGUCAAGCAUCAGGUAGGGACAUGUGUUGGGGACUAGGAUGGUACUUACACUUAUUACUGAGGUCAGUGCAUAUUUUCCACUACCUUAUUUAUGGGAUCAAAGGUUUGAUGGGAUCUAGAAAUCCAAGCACAUUUAAAACGUGGCAGAUGUGGGUAACCUCAAGUACACAGCCCAUCGCCUCAGAAAGAGGAAUGUUCUUGCAAAUUUGACAUAAUCCAAUUAGUUGAUUCCCUCAGUGACAUUUCUGCAGGCUCAUGUACAGAGGGACAAGGAAAGGGAGAUUUAUGACAGCUAUUCCUAGCAAAGGUCAUUUCUUUAUUAGUGAACAACCUGUCCUUAGUCAUGCUGAUGAUGAGGCGUUGAAGGAUAAGGGAGAGGCUGUGUAGCUUUAACACUUAACAGGGAAUAACAGCAAUAGAGCAUAGAUCAUCCCUCUACUUGGACCAGGAGGACUGAAAUCUCCCACCAUCAGGCCAAAGCCAGAGAGCAGGAGGCAAAAUCCAGGAAAAAAAUAAUACAUGGGGAUUUCUGUGGAGAUUGUGAAGGAGUUUGGAUGGUUCAGUGUCAGCACAGCAGGGGGGAAAGAGGAGCCACAGAGCAUGAGUAUGUUUUUGGAUAGGAUAAGUGUCCUUGGUGGAACCAGCUGCUUAUAAAGAACCUGGUAUGGUUGCUCUGGGGAAUCCCUGGUCAGCACUGCCAACUUCCCAGUUUGAGCAGCUCUCAGCAUCCUGUUCCAUGCCAUUUCCAGAACAACACAGAUGAGAGCAUGCUCAAAUAUAUACAAAUACACUUCCUUGGCUGUCCUUCCAUAGGCAAGGAAAGCACCAGAUUUGACAGGAAUAUGGUUUCAGUAGAUUGUGACAUACACAUUAUGUAUUUUUAAACAAUAAACCAGCAUCUACCUAUUCA